GACAUAUAUUUUCUGUUACACUGUUGCCUUAGCGCUAAGAUUUCUUUGAUUUUCUGCUGGCAGCUUUACCACCCAGUGGAGAUGUCCUCAAGCGUUCACCAUUGCUGCCUUUCCUGCUAAGAAAAUAGAAUUUGCAUGUGUUUCAAUACUUUCUGGAAUCCUACCUUCCAUAUGCAGUCUAGGUCAGUAAAAUGGUGACUUUUGCCUACCAUACUGACCUAUGAUGCUGGAAACUGCAAGAGACAACUUUGUUGGUUCAGUGGUGGAAAAUUUGGCAUGGGAUAUCUGGCACAGCAAAUACACGUCUGCUUGUUAAGGUUAAAACUGUCUAUUUUUGAAAUGGUAAAGACAAGGAGUGGACACUUCUUCCUGACAUUUAAAUAAGGAUGUGUCACAGAAGAGGCAAGAACAGAAAAUUCCAACAAAGACAAAAGAAAUAAACAUCGUAAAUAUGUUGUGCUCUUUAAUGUUGGCAUCGUUUUCAGACUUGUGUUAGGUGAAAAUGAAUGUUUUUGAUCUUCUAUCAAAGGUUUACCUUGAAAAUACAGAUGAAAGAUAAACAUCAUUAGUCCACUCUGAUCUCACUUCAGUGCUCUUUUUUUCCAUGUGCCCAUCAGAUUGUCUCAUUGUUUUUGAUUUUUUUUUUUAAAUCUGAUUUUCUGUUUAUCUGAAUAGCUGCUAAAUUCUUUGAUCUAUUUUUGUUGGACUUGCAAGGAACUUCAGAACUUCUGUGAAAGCAAGACAGAGAGAAGCAAUGUGUUUCACCUCUACUUUUUGUUGCUUCCAUUUGGAUAUUGGGAAGUCUUUGUGUAGAGAAUAAAUGAUAUAAGGUAUAGGGUAGUGAAAUCUCAUUUAAAAUAAAU
rnacentral:lncRNA from 1 species